rnacentral:rRNA from 1 species
UACAGAGGUCUCAAGCGUUGUUCGGAUUCAUUGGGCGUAAAGGGUGCGUAGGCGGCGCGGUAAGUCGGGUGUGAAAUCUCGGGGCUUAACUCCGAAACUGCAUUCGAUACUGCCGUGCUUGAGGACUGGAGAGAAGACUGGAAUUUACGGUGUAGCGGUGAAAUGCGUAGAUAUCGUAAGGAAGACCAGUGGCGAAGGCGGGUCUCUGGACAGUUCCUGACGCUGAGGCACGAAGGCCAGGGGAGCAAACGGG